UAGUCAAGUUGAUGUGUGUAAAAGGUUUAGUUUAAUAUUUGACAAAAAGUAACUGUUCAAUACAGGUUUUUCAAUAAUAAAAUCUCACCAAAUCUAAUUUCUGGAUUUGCAUAGAGUCAGGAAAGAUCUCUUCCUGAAAAGAGUGAAAUCCAUAGCAGCUCUGCCUUUAACAAUCAGGUUUUAAAAGAUGAUCUGUACCUCUGGCAGAGUGAAUACAGUGACAAUGACAAGUAAAGGCAACAAUUUGGGGAUGAACUUUGGCUCCGCUACUCAGGUAGACAGGACUUUGACUUCUUGGUGCCUCAGUUUCUUCUUGUGUCAAACUCGAAAGGAUACCUAUUAAACAGGAUUGUAGUAAGGAUUCAGUAUGACAAGCCACAUAAAAUUCUUGGCAUGGUGCCUGACACACAGAA